CAGAGGGUGCAAGCGUUAAUCGGAUUUACUGGGCGUAAAAGCGCGCGUAGGUGGCCAAUUAAGUCAAAAUGUGAAAUCCCCGAGCUUAACUUGGGAAUUGCAUUCGAUACUGGUUGGCUAGAGUAUGGGAGAGGAUGGUAGAAUUCCAGGUGUAGCGGUGAAAUGCGUAGAGAUCUGGAGGAAUACCGAUGGCGAAGGAAGCCAUCUGGCCUAAUACCGACACUGAGGUGCGAAAGCAUGGGGAGCAAAACAGGAUU
rnacentral:rRNA from 1 species